UUAGAGUUUGAUUCUGGCUCAGGAUGAACGCUAGCGGCAGGCUUAACACAUGCAAGUCGAGGGGCAGCAUGUCCAGCAAUGGAUGAUGGCGACCGGCGGAAGGGUGCGUAACGCGUGAGCAACAUGCCCUAUACAGGGAGAUACACCAGGGAAACUUGGUCUAAUAUCCCAUAGCAUUCAUUGAAGGCAUCUUUAAUGAAUUAAAGCUUCGGUGGUAUAGGAUUGGCUCGCGUGACAUUAGCCAGAUGGUGAGGUAACGGCUCACCAUAGCAAUGAUGUCUAGGGGUUUUGAGAGGAAGGCCCCCCACACUGGGACUGAGACACGGACCAGACUCCUACGGGAGGCAGCAGUGAGGAAUAUUGGUCAAUGGACGCAAGUCUGAACCAGCCACGUCGCGUGAAGGAAGACGGCCCUACGGGUUGUAAACUUCUUUUGUAAGGGAAUAAAGUGAGUCACGUGUGGCUUUUUGCAUGUACCUUACGAAUAAGGAUCGGCUAACUCCGUGCCAGCAGCCGCGGUAAUACGGAGGAUCCGAGCGUUAUCCGGAUUUAUUGGGUUUAAAGGGUGCUCAGGCGGGCCAUUAAGUCGGCGGUGAAAUUUUGCGGCUCAACCGUAAAAGUGCCUUCGAUACUGGUGGUCUUGAGUGUGGAUGAGGUAGGCGGAAUUUGUGGUGUAGCGGUGAAAUGCAUAGAUAUCACGAGAAACUCCGAUUGCUAAGGCAGCUUACUAAGCCAUAACUGACGCUCAAGCACGAAGGCGUGGGGAUCAAACAGGAUUAGAUACCCUGGUAGUCCACGCAGUAAACGAAAAAGCUGGCUGUUUGCGAUAUAUUGUAAAGGGGCUGGGGGAAAGCGUUAAGUAAUCCACCUGGGAGGGACGUUCGCAAGAAUGAAACUCAAAAGGAAUGACGGGGGCCCGCACAAGCGGAGGAACAUGUGGUUUAAUUCGAUGAUACGCGAGGAACCUUACCCGGGCUUGAAAUGCAGAUGACAGGCGGCGAGAACCGUUUUUCCUUCGGGACAUCUGUGUAGGUGCUGCAUGGUUGUCGUCAGCUCGUGCCGUGAGGUGUCGGCUUAAGUGCCAUAACGAGCGCAACCCUCAUCGUUAGUUGCCAUCAGGUCAAGCUGGGGACUCUAACGGGGCUGCCAUCGUAAGAUGUGAGGAAGGUGGGGAUGACGUCAAAUCAGCACGGCCCUUACGUCCGGGGCGACACACGUGUUACAAUGGGUGGUACAAAGGGCAGCUACCGGGCGACCGGAUGCCAAUCUCUAAAACCACUCUCAGUUCGGAUCGGAGUCUGCAACUCGACUCCGUGAAGCUGGAUUCGCUAGUAAUCGCGCAUCAGCCACGGCGCGGUGAAUAAAAGCCCGGGCCUUGCACUCACCGCCCGUCA
rnacentral:rRNA from 1 species